rnacentral:rRNA from 1 species
UACGGAGGGUGCAAGCGUUAAUCGGAAUUACUGGGCGUAAAGCGUGCGCAGGCGGUUUGUUAAGUCCGUUGUGAAAGCCCCGAGCUCAACUUGGGAAUUGCAGUGGAUACUGGCAGGCUGGAGUACGGUAGAGGAAGGUGGAAUUCCCGGUGUAGCAGUGGAAUGCGUAGAUAUCGGGAGGAACACCAGUGGCGAAGGCGGCCUCGUCGGACCAGUAGUGACGCUCAUGCACGAAAGCGUGGGGAGCAAACAGG